CACGUAGGGUGCGAGCGUUGUCCGGAAUUACUGGGCGUAAAGAGCUCGUAGGCGGUUUGUCGCGUUGUUCGUGAAAACUCACAGCUUAACUGUGGGCGUGCGGGCGAUACGGGCAGACUGGAGUACUGCAGGGGAGACUGGAAUUCCUGGUGUAGCGGUGGAAUGCGCAGAUAUCAGGAGGAACACCGGUGGCGAAGGCGGGUCUCUGGGCCGAUACUGACGCUGAGGAGCGAAAGCGUGGGGAGCGAACAGG
rnacentral:rRNA from 1 species